CUGUGAUGUCUUCCAUUGCAGCAGUUAAACUUUUUGACAGUCAAAUAUUUAGCUGCAGUCCAUUACUGCAGUCGUUGACUUGAGUUCAUUUUUAAUCUAUCCCAUUGAGAGACAGCCAGCAUUUGUUUGUUUUAACAUACAGUAAAGGUAGAAAACUGACUGGGCCAGAUUACUCCAAAGACAUUUGGAGGCCUUUUCGAGUUUUGUGUGGCAGCGGUGAGAAGUGACGUCAACAUCGAGAGAGGCAUGCAGUGCCCUUACAGAGACCAAAGGUCAACAACUGAUUUUAAGAACAAGAGAUUCUGGAAUAUGUGUCUAAAAGACUGUUGAAGCUGCCUUUCGUGCUGAGAAAGAAAAAAGAGACACUGACCAUAUGUCUAAAGUAUCUGCCCCCUUCACGAGGCCUUUCGUGAUCGAAAGCAAGCCCUCACCUCAGCACCGCUUUGGGCCUCUUGGUCUAUCAUCAGCUUACACCUGCACGGGAAGCGUGUGUCACAUUAUCGCCCUAUUGCAUAUAACUCAUACUGGUUUCCGCCUGUGGUCUUGGCAUGGCGAGCUGUCUCAGAGAUGUAGCCGCUGUUGCUACCAUAAUUGUUAAAUUUCAGCCAUUGUACUUGGUCACGACUGUGUUGUUUUUGUUGUUUGUGUUGUUUAUGCAGGGCUGCACAUCUUGAAGGCUAUGCAGCAUGGAGAUCUGGCUAUGGGGCUAUCAUAUUGUCAAACCCUCACAUUUCUUGAAAGAGAAUUAAAGCAGACUGAUUCAAAAUUCUGAUCUGAUUUUGUUAACUGAUGGAUUUAAAGAUAACAAACACCUGGUUGAGCUGUAGUGGGGGAUUGGGAAGUUAUGGAGCAAAUCACUGUCUAAAGGCACGUCGAGAAGCAACAGAAUUAUAUCCUCUCAUUAGAGCCUGCAUUCUGGCUAUAAAGAUUUCAGUUCCUUCCUUCAUGUUUUGACCAAUGUUUUCAAUAGGUCCGACACAUGUAGGAAAAGGGGGAUGAAUUAUGUAAUUAGGUUACAAUGAUUUGCUCUAGUCACACAAGAUAUUGUACAAGUAAAGAAAGAAAGUUCAGUGAAAACACGAUUAUUAUAACUAUCAGGAGUAAAAUUAAUAUUGCCAUUUAAAUAAUCAAAUUGUUAUGAUUGUUAAUGUUUGUAUUAAGUAUGAAAAUAGAUUUCACACAUAUGCCAAGCUGUCAAGGCUGUGAAAGUGAGAAUGAGAGAAUCAACUUAACCAUUGUUCUAUAUUUCAUCCGCAGUACAGAGAAUGCAGCAACUGAACUAAGUCCUCAUGAGUCCUGACAGAGUAUAAUCCCAAAAGGUCACACUUCUCUGGACUGAUGAGUAGAUGCAUAUACGAGUGUAUGAUAUUGAUGUAUAUUGCAUGUUAACAAAACUAGCAAACUAACAGCAAUGUUAAAAAUAUUUAAUUUACAGGUCCUCCACAGACUCCUGGAAACAUCGUGGGGGUUUUUCAUGUUUCAUCAUUCCAGAAGAAUGUGUAAAUCAAAUCUCUCCAAUCUAUGGAGAAUGUGUCCCUGUCUCACAGGUAGAGAGAACCGUUUCAGGUGUUAACUGACGACAAGGACCACCUCAUAGGUCAAUGGUCGAGCAGACAAUGCUGUGACAUAGGAGCAGGGGGUGGGUCUGACUGAGAGCUCGUCCAAUGUACGUCCACCGACACCUGCAACCAUGUACCCAUUGGAUGGAUUCAUUGUGCGCCAGUGACGGACAUUCACGAAGGGUAACUACAGCUCCAGAGAGCUGAGCAACGCUGAUGACUUUGCUAGGGGUACAGCUGAGGAAGGAAUAUUCAACACACCUCGUUUGCAUUUUAUUCAUGUGCAAAAUAAAGCUUACAUCAUUG